GAUAUGGCUCAGGACGAACGCUGGCGGCGCGCCUAACACAUGCAAGUCGAACGAGCGAGAGAGAGCUUGCUUUCUCGAGCGAGUGGCGAACGGGUGAGUAACGCGUGAGGAACCUGCCUCAAAGAGGGGGACAACAGUUGGAAACGACUGCUAAUACCGCAUAAGCCCACGGCUCGGCAUCGAGCAGAGGAAAAAGGAGCAAUCCGCUUUGAGAUGGCCUCGCGUCCGAUUAG
rnacentral:rRNA from 1 species